rnacentral:piRNA from 1 species
UACAGAAAGGUGACCUCAGAUACAAAAUGG